rnacentral:rRNA from 1 species
AACGAACGCUGGCGGCAGGCUUAACACAUGCAAGUCGAACGGAUCCUUCGGGAUUAGUGGCAGACGGGUGAGUAACGCGUGGGAACGUACCCUUUGCUACGGAAUAACUCAGGGAAACUUGGGCUAAUACCGUAUGUGCCCUACGGGGGAAAGAUUUAUCGGCAAAGGAUCGGCCCGCGUUGGAUUAGCUAGUUGGUGGGGUAAUGGCCUACCAAGGCGACGAUCCAUAGCUGGUCUGAGAGGAUGAUCAGCCACACUGGGACUGAGACACGGCCCAGACUCCUACGGGAGGCAGCAGUGGGGAAUAUUGGACAAUGGGCGCAAGCCUGAUCCAGCCAUGCCGCGUGAGUGAUGAAGGUCUUAGGAUUGUAAAGCUCUUUCACCGGUGAAGAUAAUGACGGUAGCCGGAGAAGAAGCCCCGGCUAACUUCGUG